rnacentral:rRNA from 1 species
ACAAACGCUGGCGGGGUGCAUGAGACAUGCAAGUCGAACGGGGUUGGAGCGGGCGUUGCUCGAUCAACCUAGUGGCGGACGGCCGAGUAACGCGUAGGUGACCUACCCGGAAGUGGGGAAUAACUGCCCGAAAGGGUGGCUAAUACCGCAUGUGGUCGGCGAUUCACUUCGCCGCCUAAAGCCGUAAGGCGCUUCCGGCGGGGCCUGCGUCCGAUUAGCUAGUUGGUGGGGUAAUGGCUCACCAAGGCGACGAUCGGUAGCUGGUCUGAGAGGAUGAUNAGCCAGACUGGGACUGAGAUACGGCCCAGACUCCUACGGGAGGCAGCAGUAGGGAA